UUGAACGCUGGCGGCAAUGCUUAACACAUGCAAGUCGAACGGCAGCACAGCAGAGCUUGCUCUGUGGGUGGCGAGUGGCGGACGGGUGAGUAAUGCAUCGGGACCUACCCAGACGUGGGGGAUAACGUAGGGAAACUUACGCUAAUACCGCAUACGUCCUACGGGAGAAAGCGGGGGAUCGAAAGACCUCGCGCGGUUGGAUGGACCGAUGUGCGAUUAGCUUGUUGGUGAGGUAACGGCUCACCAAGGCGACGAUCGCUAGCUG
rnacentral:rRNA from 1 species